GGAAAGGCCCUUUCGGGGGUACUCGAGUGGCGAACGGGUGAGUAACACGUGGGUGAUCUGCCCUGCACUUUGGGAUAAGCCUGGGAAACUGGGUCUAAUACCGGAUAUAGAUCAUGGACUGCAUGGUUUGUGAUGGAAAGCUUUUGCGGUGUGGGAUGGGCCCGCGGCCUAUCAGCUUGUUGGUGGGGUGAUGGCCUACCAAGGCGACGACGGGUAGCCGGCCUGAGAGGGUGACCGGCCACACUGGGACUGAGAUACGGCCCAGACUCCUACGGGAGGCAGCAGUGGGGAAUAUUGCACAAUGGGCGCAAGCCUGAUGCAGCGACGCCGCGUGAGGGAUGACGGCCUUCGGGUUGUAAACCUCUUUCAGCAGGGACGAAGCGCAAGUGACGGUACCUGUAGAAGAAGGACCGGCCAACUACGUGCCAGCAGCCGCGGUAAUACGUAGGGUCCGAGCGUUGUCCGGAAUUACUGGGCGUAAAGAGCUCGUAGGUGGUUUGUCGCGUUGUUCGUGAAAACUCACAGCUCAACUGUGGGCGUGCGGGCGAUACGGGCAGACUUGAGUACUGCAGGGGAGACUGGAAUUCCUGGUGUAGCGGUGGAAUGCGCAGAUAUCAGGAGGAACACCGGUGGCGAAGGCGGGUCUCUGGGCAGUAACUGACGCUGAGGAGCGAAAGCGUGGGGAGCGAACAGGAUUAGAUACCCUGGUAGUCCACGCCGUAAACGGUGGGUACUAGGUGUGGGUUUCUUCCUUGGGAUCCGUGCCGUAGCUAACGCAUUAAGUACCCCGCCUGGGGAGUACGGCCGCAAGGCUAAAACUCAAAGAAAUUGACGGGGGCCCGCACAAGCGGCGGAGCAUGUGGAUUAAUUCGAUGCAACGCGAAGAACCUUACCUGGGUUUGACAUGCACAGGACGCUGGUAGAGAUGUCGGUUCCCUUGUGCCUGUGUGCAGUGUGCAUGG
rnacentral:rRNA from 1 species